rnacentral:tRNA from 1 species
GGGCCGGUAGCUCAGGUGGUUAGAGCGCACGCCUGAUAAGCGUGAGGUCGAAGGUUCAACUCCUUCUCGGCCCA